rnacentral:rRNA from 1 species
UACUUCUUCGGACAAUAGUACAAGGUGCUGCAUGGUUGUCGUCAGCUCGUGCCGUGACGGUGUCGGGUUAAGUCCCAUAACGAGCGCAACCCCUACCUUUACGUUGCCAUCAGGUUAAGCUGGGGACUCUAAAGGAACUGCCUACGCAAGUAGUGAGGAAGGCGGGGAUGACGUCGAAAUCAGCACGGCCCUUACGUCCAGGGCUACACACGUGCUACAAUGGCCGAUACAGAGGGCAGCUACCUGGUGACAGGAUGCAAAUCUCCAAAGUCGGUCUCAGUUCGGAUCGGAGUCUGCAACCCGACUCCGUGAAGUUGGAUUCGCUAGUAAUCGCGCAUCAGCCAUGGCGCGGUGAAUACGUUCCCGGGCCUU